rnacentral:rRNA from 1 species
GACGAACGCUGGCGGCGUGCUUAACACAUGCAAGUCGAACGGAAAGGCCCUGCUUUUGUGGGGUGCUCGAGUGGCGAACGGGUGAGUAACACGUGAGUAACCUGCCCUUGACUUUGGGAUAACUUCAGGAAACUGGGGCUAAUACCGGAUAGGAGCUCCUGCUGCAUGGUGGGGGUUGGAAAGUUUCGGCGGUUGGGGAUGGACUCGCGGCUUAUCAGCUUGUUGGUGGGGUAGUGGCUUACCAAGGCUUUGACGGGUAGCCGGCCUGAGAGGGUGACCGGCCACAUUGGGACUGAGAUACGGCCCAGACUCCUACGGGAGGCAGCAGUGGGGAAUAUUGCACAGUGGGCGGAAGCCUGAUGCAGCAACGCCGCGUGCGGGAUGACGGCCUUCGGGGUGUAAACCGCUUUCGCCUGUGACGAAGCGUGAGUGACGGUAAUGGGUAAAGAAGCACCGGCUAACUACGUG